AAAAAACUAGUUGUGUUGUGCAUACUUUGUUUUGGUCAAAGAGGUGGUGUAUUUGU
rnacentral:tRNA from 1 species